rnacentral:rRNA from 1 species
AAGAGUUUGAUCAUGGCUCAGAUUGAACGCUGGCGGCAGGCCUAACACAUGCAAGUCGAGCGGAUGAAGGGAGCUUGCUCCUGGAUUCAGCGGCGGACGGGUGAGUAAUGCCUAGGAAUCUGCCUGGUAGUGGGGGAUAACGUCCGGAAACGGGCGCUAAUACCGCAUACGUCCUGAGGGAGAAAGUGGGGGAUCUUCGGACCUCACGCUAUCAGAUGAGCCUAGGUCGGAUUAGCUAGUUGGUGGGGUAAAGGCCUACCAAGGCGACGAUCCGUAACUGGUCUGAGAGGAUGAUCAGUCACACUGGAACUGAGACACGGUCCAGACUCCUACGGGAGGCAGCAGUGGGGAAUAUUGGACAAUGGGGCGAAAGCCUGAUCCAGCCAUGCCGCGUGUGUGA